AGUGAACGCUGGCGGUAGGCCUAACACAUGCAAGUCGAACGGCAGCACAGUAAGAGCUUGCUCUUACGGGUGGCGAGUGGCGGACGGGUGAGGAAUACAUCGGAAUCUACUUUUUCGUGGGGGAUAACGUAGGGAAACUUACGCUAAUACCGCAUACGACCUACGUGUGAAAGCAGUGGAUCUUCGGACCUUGCGCGAUUGAAUGAGCCGAUGUCGGAUUAGCUAGUUGGCGGGGUAAAGGCCCACCAAGGCGACGAUCCGUAGCUGGUCUGAGAGGAUGAUCAGCCACACUGGAACUGAGACAUGGUCCAGACUCCUACGGGAGGCAGCAGUGGGGAAUAUUGGACAAUGGGCGCAAGCCUGAUCCAGCCAUACCGCGUGGGUGAAGAAGGCCUUCGGGUUGUAAAGCCCUUUUGUUGGGAAAGAAAAGCAGCAGGUUAAUACCCCGCUGUUCUGACGGUACCCAAAGAAUAAGCACCGGCUAACUUCGUG
rnacentral:rRNA from 1 species